CCUACGGGAGGCAGCAGUGAGGAAUAUUGGUCAAUGGACGAGAGUCUGAACCAGCCAAGUAGCGUGAAGGAUGACUGCCCUAUGGGUUGUAAACUUCUUUUAUAAAGGAAUAAAACGAGGCACGUGUGCCUUUUUGCAUGUACUUUAUGAAUAAGGAUCGGCUAACUCCGUGCCAGCAGCCGCGGUAAUACGGAGGAUCCGAGCGUUAUCCGGAUUUAUUGGGUUUAAAGGGAGCGUAGAUGGGUUGUUAAGUCAGUUGUGAAAGUUUGCGGCUCAACCGUAAAAUUGCAAUUGAUACUGGCAGUCUUGAGUACAGUUGAGGUAGGCGGAAUUCGUGGUGUAGCGGUGAAAUGCUUAGAGAUCACGAAGAACCCCGAUUGCGAAGGCAGCUUACUAAACUGUGACUGACAUUGAUGCUCGAAAGUGUGGGUAGCAAACAGGAUUAGAUACCCUAGUAGUC
rnacentral:rRNA from 1 species